rnacentral:rRNA from 1 species
UAUUCGGGGCGCUACCAUGCAGUCGAGCGGAUGAGAGGAGCUUGCUCCUUGAUUUAGCGGCGGACGGGUGAGUAAUGCCUAGGAAUCUGCCUGGUAGUGGGGGAUAACGUUCCGAAAGGAACGCUAAUACCGCAUACGUCCUACGGGAGAAAGCAGGGGACCUUCGGGCCUUGCGCUAUCAGAUGAGCCUAGGUCGGAUUAGCUAGUUGGUGAGGUAAUGGCUCACCAAGGCGACGAUCCGUAACUGGUCUGAGAGGAUGAUCAGUCACACUGGAACUGAGACACGGUCCAGACUCCUACGGGAGGCAGCAGUGGGGAAUAUUGGACAAUGGGCGAAAGCCUGAUCCAGCCAUGCCGCGUGUGUGAAGAAGGUCUUCGGAUUGUAAAGCACUUUAAGUUGGGAGGAAGGGCAUUAACCUAAUACGUUAGUGUUUUGACGUUACCGACAGAAUAAGCACCGGCUAACUUCGUGCCAGCAGCCGCGGUAAUACGAAGGGUGCAAGCGUUAAUCGGAAUUACUGGGCGUAAAGCGCGCGUAGGUGGUUCGUUAAGUUGGAUGUGAAAGCCCCGGGCUCAACCUGGGAACUGCAUCCAAAACUGGCGAGCUAGAGUACGGUAGAGGGUGGUGGAAUUUCCUGUGUAGCGGUGAAAUGCGUAGAUAUAGGAAGGAACACCAGUGGCGAAGGCGACCACCUGGACUGAUACUGACACUGAGGUGCGAAAGCGUGGGGAGCAAACAGGAUUAGAUACCCUGGUAGUCCACGCCGUAACGAUGUCAACUAGCCUUUGGGUUCCUUGAGAACUUAGUGGCGCAGCUCACGCAUUAAGUUGACCGCCUGGGGAGUACGGCCGCAAGGUUAAAACUCAAUGAAUUGACGGGGCCCGCACAAGCGGUGGAGCAUGUGGUUUAAUUCGAAGC